CGGUAAUUCCAGCUCCAAUAGCGUAUACUAAAGUUGUUGCAGUUAAAAAGCUCGUAGUUGGAUUUCUGCGGGGACGGAGCGGCCGGUCGCAACUUGCGACUCGAGCUAGCGCUUCCCCCGCAUCCUGCCGCGAACCGUGCUACCAUUAGUUUGGUGGCGCUGGGGAUCGGCUCGAUUACUUUGAGAAAAAUAGAGUGUUCAAAGCAGGCCACACGCCUUGAAUAAGUUAGCAUGGAAUAAUGACUAAGGACUUUGGUUCUUUUCGUUGGUGUUCGGGACUGAAGUAAUGAUUGAUAGGGACAGUUGGGGCGGUCCGUAUUCCAAAGCGAGAGGUGAAAUUCUUAGACCUUCGGAAGACGAACAGCUGCGAAAGCGUUCCGCAAGGAUGUUCCCUUUGAUCAAGAACGAAAGUUGGGGGAUCGAAGACGAUCAGAUACCGUCGUAGUCUCAACUAUAAACUAUACCAGCUAGGGAUCGGCCAACGUUUAAUUAUUCGACUUGGUCGGCACCUUAUGAGAAAUCAAAGCAUCUGGGUUCCGGGGGGAGUAUGGUCGCAAGGCUGAAACUUAAAGGAAUUGACGGAAGGGCACCACCAGCCGUGGAGCCUGUGGCUUAAUUUGACUCAACACGGGAAAACUUACCAGGUCCGGACAUAGUAAGGAUUGACAGAUUGAUAGCUCUUUCUUGAUUCUGUGGGUGGUGGUGCAUGGCCGUUUUUAGUCGGUGGAUGUGAUCUGUCUGCUUAAUUGCGUUAACGGACGAGACCCCAGCCUGCUAAAUAGCGCGGCCGAGCUUUGCUCGGUGCGAGCUUCUUAGAGGGACCAUGAUGCGCGAUAGCACAAGGAAGUUUGGGGCAACAACAGGUCUGUGAUGCCCUUAGAUGUUCUGGGCCGCACACGGGCUACACUGGCGCCUGCAACGAGCAUAUCAGCUGGCCCGAGAGGGUCUUGGCUAAUCUUUGGAACCGGCGCCGUGCUUGGGAUUGACCAUUGCAAUUGUUGGUCAUGCAACGAGGAAUGCCUUGUAAACGCGAGUCAUCAGCUCGCAUUGAAUACGUCCCUGCCCUUUGUACACACCGCCCGUCGCUCCUACCGAUGAAUGUUCCGAUGAAAUUUUCGGAGAGCGCCGGAGAACGGGGCUCCGCCCUGCAGAACUGGAGGCUCAAAGUCACUUAAAUCUGAGCAUUUCGAGGAAGGAGAAGUCGUAACAAGGUAGCCG
rnacentral:rRNA from 1 species